rnacentral:rRNA from 1 species
GACCUUGCGCUAAUAGAUGAGCCUAAGUCGGAUUAGCUAGUUGGUGGGGUAAAGGCCUACCAAGGCGACGAUCUGUAGCGGGUCUGAGAGGAUGAUCCGCCACACUGGGACUGAGACACGGCCCAGACUCCUACGGGAGGCAGCAGUGGGGAAUAUUGGACAAUGGGGGGAACCCUGAUCCAGCCAUGCCGCGUGUGUGAAGAAGGCCUUAUGGUUGUAAAGCACUUUAAGCGAGGAGGAGGCUCCCGUAGCUAAUAUCUACGGAGAGUGGACGUUACUCGCAGAAUAAGCACCGGCUAACUCUGUGCCAGCAGCCGCGGUAAUACAGAGGGUGCGAGCGUUAAUCGGAUUUACUGGGCGUAAAGCGUGCGUAGGCGGCUUUUUAAGUCGGAUGUGAAAUCCCCGAGCUUAACUUGGGAAUUGCAUUCGAUACUGGGAAGCUAGAGUAUGGGAGAGGAUGGUAGAAUUCCAGGUGUAGCGGUGAAAUGCGUAGAGAUCUGGAGGAAUACCGAUGGCGAAGGCAGCCAUCUGGCC